rfam:Hordeum vulgare subsp. vulgare, WGS project CAJW01000000 data, contig: morex_contig_138930
UUAAUACUCCCUCCGUCCGGAAAUACUUGUCUUAGAAAUGAAUAAAAUGGAUGUAUCUAUAAGCAAAAUAAGUCUAGAUACAUCCAUUUCUAAGACAAGUAUUUCCGAACGAAGGGAGUAUAAA